UGGCGGUGGCGGCGGCGGCGGCGGCGGCGGCAGGGGGUGUUUCAAUUGUGGCGAAGAAGGGCAUUUAGCCAGGGAUUGCCCUAAUGAGCAGGAAUGAGCGCUUCUUUGUUCAUACCGUCUGUUGUGGCUCCAAUUUGGGAUUUGGAUAUAUACAUUUGGCUUCCGAUCCCGCACUUUUGCUCUCCCGAGUUCCAUUUCCUGCUUUUAUGACGGUGGUGACUUCACUCUUAUUGUCUAAGUUUCAGAAACUUGGUUUCGAGGCUAUGUUGUCUCUUUCAAUUUCUAAUGUUGGUGCUUCAUCAAUAUUCUUUUUCUAGUGUGAAGAGAUGUGAAGCUGUUUCAAAUCUUUUAAUGAAAUGUGGUCAAUUACACCCCCAGAUAUUAUUAACACAUUGAAGAUGUUCUUCUUUUGGAAAUUUCUUGACGUUUGCUAGUUGUAGAGUGACAUGUUUGUUCUCCUUUUACAAUGUGGAAACUCAUUGUUAGUUGUCCUUAACUGUAAUGGCAUAAAAUUCCUUUUC